UCAAAUCAAACUCAGAGGGUUUUUUUUCCUUUCUGAAAACGUGUCCUACUAGUUGUGAUUGCUGAUUUAUUUAUUGCCUAGGUAACAAUCUCAAGUAAAUAACAUUUUUUGGAGCAGCAUGGAGCAAAUAGUAAAAUCUUUACUCGUAACCGUGUCUGUUUUGGCUGCUUAUCAUUAUUAUAUUACCAAUAAUAAGUAGUUUAAUAUAAUAAAAUAAUUUAAUAAUAAUAAAUUCAUCUAUAACAGCCAAUGCUCAGAUAUUGAUUUAAAUUACGAUUACCUAGUAAGUUGUUUACCUAUCUCAUGAUACUUAUUAAUUCUCCAGUGAGCUAUUAGCAAUUGUCAUUUGGUUGUCAAAUGAAAUCAGAAAAUCCAAGCACAAAUCCUAUUUAAAUUAUACUCGAAUCCGUAUUAGGUUCCCAUGGGAAUUUCAUGUGUCUAGUGAGCAAAUGAAAUGGACAGAAAGGAACAGCUGAAGUUUUUUUUCAUGGUUCUAUCUAUGGCUACUCUGAUGGAAUAUUCUUUUGGUAUGUUCGCAUUACCUAGCUGGAGUUUAAAUAGGGAGAAAAAAUCGAAGCCUCUACAAAAGCCGCCUCGAAAUAUAAUAGACGAUGAAGAAACGUCGAAACCAGAAAUGGCGGGACUCAUCUCGGAUCGAAAAGUGCCGGAACUUAGUCAGGAACUAAAAAUGCCGGAACUUAGUCAGGAACUAAAAAUGGAGGAACUUAACCCGGGAAUCAAAAUGGCGGGACUCCGAUCGGCAGUAAAAAAUUCGGGACAAUCCACGCGGAGUCCGCGUAGACUGAAUAAACCGGGACUGAAUUCAACCGAAGUUUUCGACAUUUUCAGCCAAGAAUAAAUACCUGAACUUUAAAUA